rnacentral:rRNA from 1 species
ACGUACACUCCUGCGGGAGGCAGCAGUGGGGAAUCUUGCGCAAUGGGCGAAAGCCUGACGCAGCCAUGCCGCGUGAAUGAUGAAGGUCUUAGGAUUGUAAAAUUCUUUCACCGGGGACGAUAAUGACGGUACCCGGAGAAGAAGCCCCGGCUAACUUCGUGCCAGCAGCCGCGGUAAUACGAAGGGGGCUAGCGUUGCUCGGAAUUAUUGGGCGUAAAGGGAGCGUAGGCGGACAUUUAAGUCAGGGGUGAAAUCCCGGGGCUCAACCUCGGAAUUGCCUUUGAUACUGGGUGUCUUGAGUAUGAGAGAGGUGUGUGGAACUCCGAGUGUAGAGGUGAAAUUCGUAGAUAUUCGGAAGAACACCAGUGGCGAAGGCGACACACUGGCUCAUUACUGACGCUGAGGCUCGAAAGCGUGGGGAGCAAACAGGAUUAGAAACCCUUGUAGUCCCAUGA